UGCCCCGUGGCUCAGUUGGUUAGAGCGUGUGACUGUUAUCCUAUUAGCCUAUCCAUCACAAGGUCGAGAGUUCGAGCCUCUCCGGGGCAG